rnacentral:rRNA from 1 species
UACGGGGGGGGCAAGCGUUGUUCGGAAUUACUGGGCGUAAAGGGCGCGUAGGUGGCUCGCUAAGUCUGAUGUGAAAACUCUGGGCUCAACCCAGAGCCUGCAUUCGAAACUGACGAGCUGGAGUUCUGGAGGGGAAAGCGGAAUUCCUGGUGUAGCGGUGAAAUGCGUAGAUAUCAGGAGGAACACCGGUGGCGAAGGCGGCUUGCUGGACAGAAACUGACGCUGAUGCGCGAAAGCUAGGGGAGCAAACAGG